rnacentral:lncRNA from 1 species
GGAGGCUUUGAACAGAUCCAAGGCUCUCUUGCCAUAUGGUAUGGCUCUUACUAUGAUUUUUAGGGAGUCUAGAGUGAGUUUUGAGGGAGAGGUUGUUUGUAGAUUAUUGAACACUGAUACCUACAAUGACCACUCCCUUCGGUGCAUGGUGUUUGUCAGAGUGGAUGGCUGUUGGGCCAAGGGCCGUGUAGCUGCAGCUGAGGAGGAGGAUGAUG